GAAUGCUGACAUAAGUAACGAUAAAGCGGGUGAAAAGCCCGCUCGCCGGAAGACCAAGGGUUCCUGUCCAACGUUAAUCGGGGCAGGGUGAGUCGACCCCUAAGGCGAGGCCGAAAGGCGUAGUCGAUGGGAAACGGGUUAAUAUUCCCGUACUUGGUGUUACUGCGAAGGGGGGACGGAGAAGGCUAUGUUGGCCGGGCGACGGUUGUCCCGGUUUAAGCGUGUAGGUGUGUGUUCCAGGUAAAUCCGGUUCACUUUAACACUGAGGCGUGACGACGAGGCACUACGGUGCUGAAGCAACAAAUGCCCUGCUUCCAGGAAAAGCCUCUAAGCAUCAGGUAACAUCAAAUCGUACCCCAAACCGACACAGGUGGUCAGGUAGAGAAUACCAAGGCGCUUGAGAGAACUCGGGUGAAGGAACUAGGCAAAAUGGUGCCGUAACUUCGGGAGAAGGCACGCUGACACGUAGGUGAAGUGAUUUACUCAUGGAGCUGAAGUCAGUCGAAGAUACCAGCUGGCUGCAACUGUUUAUUAAAAACACAGCACUGUGCAAACACGAAAGUGGACGUAUACGGUGUGACGCCUGCCCGGUGCCGGAAGGUUAAUUGAUGGGGUCAGCGCAAGCGAAGCUCCUGAUCGAAGCCCCGGUAAACGGCGGCCGUAACUAUAACGGUCCUAAGGUAGCGAAAUUCCUUGUCGGGUAAGUUCCGACCUGCACGAAUGGCGUAAUGAUGGCCAGGCUGUCUCCACCCGAGACUCAGUGAAAUUGAACUCGCUGUGAAGAUGCAGUGUACCCGCGGCAAGACGGAAAGACCCCGUGAACCUUUACUAUAGCUUGACACUGAACAUUGAGCCUUGAUGUGUAGGAUAGGUGGGAGGCUUUGAAGUGUGGACGCCAGUCUGCAUGGAGCCGACCUUGAAAUACCACCCUUUAAUGUUUGAUGUUCUAACGUGGACCCGUUACCCGGGUUGCGGACAGUGUCUGGUGGGUAGUUUGACUGGGGCGGUCUCCUCCUAAAGAGUAACGGAGGAGCACGAAGGUUGGCUAAUCCUGGUCGGACAUCAGGAGGUUAGUGCAAUGGCAUAAGCCAGCUUGACUGCGAGCGUGACGGCGCGAGCAGGUGCGAAAGCAGGUCAUAGUGAUCCGGUGGUUCUGAAUGGAAGGGCCAUCGCUCAACGGAUAAAAGGUACUCCGGGGAUAACAGGCUGAUACCGCCCAAGAGUUCAUAUCGACGGCGGUGUUUGGCACCUCGAUGUCGGCUCAUCACAUCCUGGGGCUGAAGUAGGUCCCAAGGGUAUGGCUGUUCGCCAUUUAAAGUGGUACGCGAGCUGGGUUUAGAACGUCGUGAGACAGUUCGGUCCCUAUCUGCCGUGGGCGCUGGAGAACUGAGGGGGGCUGCUCCUAGUACGAGAGGACCGGAGUGGACGCAUCACUGGUGUUCGGGUUGUCAUGCCAAUGGCACUGCCCGGUAGCUAAAUGCGGAAGAGAUAAGUGCUGAAAGCAUCUAAGCACGAAACUUGCCCCGAGAUGAGUUCUCCCUGAGA
rnacentral:rRNA from 1 species